UACGUAGGGUGCGAGCGUUGUCCGGAAUUACUGGGCGUAAAGAGCUCGUAGGUGGUUUGUCGCGUUGUCCGUGAAAACUCACAACUCAAUUGUGGGCGUGCGGGCGAUACGGGCAGACUGGAGUACUGCAGGGGAGACUGGAAUUCCUGGUGUAGCGGUGGAAUGCGCAGAUAUCAGGAGGAACACCGGUGGCGAAGGCGGCUAUCUGGGCUUUAACUGACGCUGAGGCGCGAAGGCUAGGGGAGCAAACAGG
rnacentral:rRNA from 1 species